UUGCUAACUUGGGUAGCACAUGUACUAAAAUUGGAACGAUACAGAGAAGGGUAGCACGGUACCUGCGCAAGUAUGACACACAAAUUCGUGAAGCAGUCCACAUCAAU